UCCUGUUUGUUUGUUUGUUUACUAGUAAACAAGCAGCCGAGCGGUUGAUGAUGAAUCAGAGGUGGAGGUGAAGGUGUUCCUGUGGUUCUGGUUCUGGACCUUCAGGGACUCUGAUCAGGACUCUAACAGCAGGUUUUGGGGCAGAUUGUCUCUUUAACAGCAGCUGAAGGAGACUCAGGUGAGCUCCGUCAUUAGAAACUGGAUCACAGCUCUUCUCCAGCAGGCGGCGCCACUCUGAGUCUCAGAGACCAGAAGAUCCUGAUCCGGAUCAUCAUGAAGCUGCUUUGAGACGCUGUGAUGUCAUCAGUCCUCCAUCUUGGACUGGAACAAGGCGAGUACGACGCCCUGCCCCAGCAGGCCUUCUCCAUGGUGGGCCCCAUGG